rnacentral:rRNA from 1 species
GUACAUGUCUACAACAUAGCAUUAAUGCACCAGAUCCCAUUAGAAAUCUGUAGUUAAGCGUGCUUAGGCUAAAGUAGUACUGGGAUGGGUGACCAGCUAGGAAAUGUUGAAAUAAUGUAAC